GGUCAUCUAUGAGGGAGAAGUAUUUGGAACGGCCAAGUUUGAGAAUAAGGACGAGAUACGAAGAGUAAGAAUGUUGAAAAUUAGGUUGGCGAGAAGCGAAAUCGAAGAUUUCUUUGGCGAGGAGAGGAUCUGAUUGGGAAGCUAUGAGUUUCUGGACUCGAGAUGGCGACCCAAUUGGGGAUUUGGAGAUGUCAAUGGAAUUAGAAGAUUCUUGCUUUAGUUUCUGUUGCUUUUGUUUUUCACCUUUUUGUUCUUGCUGCUGUUGCUGGCGGUGAUGGGCUGAAGAAGAGUGGAAGAAGAGUGAUUGUGCUUCUUGCGAC
rnacentral:misc_RNA from 1 species